rnacentral:rRNA from 1 species
GACGAACGCUGGCGGCGUGCUUAACACAUGCAAGUCGAACGGAAAGGCCCUGCUUUUGUGGGGUGCUCGAGUGGCGAACGGGUGAGUAACACGUGAGUAACCUGCCCUUGACUUUGGGAUAACUUCAGGAAACUGGGGCUAAUACCGGAUAGGAGCUCCUGCUGCAUGGUGGGGGUUGGAAAGUUUCGGCGGUUGGGGAUGGACUCGCGGCUUAUCAGCUUGUUGGUGGGGUAGUGGCUUACCAAGGCUUUGACGGGUAGCCGGCCUGAGAGGGUGACCGGCCACAUUGGGACUGAGAUACGGCCCAGACUCCUACGGGAGGCAGCAGUGGGGAAUAUUGCACAAUGGGCGGAAGCCUGAUGCAGCAACGCCGCGUGCGGGAUAACGGCCUUCGGGUUGUAAACCGCUUUCGCCUGUGACGAAGCGUGAGUGACGGUAAUGGGUAAAGAAGCACCGGCUAACUACGUG